rnacentral:rRNA from 1 species
UACGUAGGUGGCAAGCGUUGUCCGGAUUUACUGGGCGUAAAGAGCGCGCAGGCGGUCGGCCAAGUCGAGUGUGAAAGCCCCCGGCUCAACUGGGGAGGGUCAUUCGAUACUGGUCGACUCGAAGGCAGGAGAGGGAAGCGGAAUUCCCGGUGUAGUGGUGAAAUGCGUAGAGUAUCGGGAGGAACACCAGUGGCGAAGGCGGCUUCCUGGCCUGUUCUUGACGCUGAGG